GUAUUGAAGCAGGUGUUGACACCUCAGUAAAAAUGAACAACCUAUCAAAUUAUAACAAUUAAUACAUGUCAGCUUUUCUCUUCCUUAUGUGGACAAAAGCUUUGUAACACUGCCUUUAAUCAAUUGCUAAAUGAAGAUGAAGAUCGAACAAGAAGGAGAAGAGAAGGAGAAUUGAUCAUCCGUAGAAAAAACAAACGAAAGCCAAAGUGGAGCAAGGUCAGUUGUUGGAUUGUUGGUUGGUUGUUCACAAAGUUCUGAUUUCAGUCUUCUUCCUCUUCCAUUUCUCUCUCUAUUCUAAUUCCGGCUAAUGAAACAAGAGAUCAUGGCCUCUCUCUCUCUCUCCCUCUCUGCGAAACCCAAAAGGCUGAAAAAAUUCAGCCAACGGUGUCGGCGGUUUCAUCACCAACAUAUGUCUUGGCGGUAGAGAGCUGCUUAACGGAGUUGCGUAAGAGGAGGUCGAGAUGUUUCCAUUGCUCGCUGGAGUUCCAUAGAUCUCGCCGAUGUUACCCCAUUUCACGAUGAGCUCUGUGAUGAUGAAAUUGUCUCCACCUAAUCCUCAUCCGCCAGAAAAGUUAGAAUAAGAGACGAGUGAGCUCAGAGCCGUGUCGAUGGUGAUCUGUUUCAUUGACUUUUCCCAGAACAAACAAUCUCGCCAUAGAUUGCGCCUGAGACUCGGGUCUAUUGGCUGGGUUGUCGAAACCAAGUUAAGCAUUGCUGAUAAAAAUACAGUGACGUCAUCAUCGGAAGGGGUGAAACUCCUACAUUCAUAAACAGCAAUCUUAGACGAGUUUUGUUUCCUUAAAUUGGUCGUAUAAAGUACAAAGGACUUUGGUUUGUUUAGAAGCAGUGGACGGUCACAAGAUAAGUAUAUGAUUCCUUCUUUGUGUCUGUCCUGUAUGCACUAAGAGGGUGGGAUUGAAUAUCGUUGGCCAUAUUACGACGCAACAUGCCAAUUUUUUUAAGAUAUCCUUUCAACUUUCAAUAUAUGAUGGUUUAAUCUGUUUAUUAUCUUGCUUCUCUACAGUACAUAUAACAAUCAUUUGGUAGAACUUAAAAGUGGAUUUUUUUAAUUCCUUGAUGAGAGGUUUUUACGUUCAGCGAAAGAGAAGGUUGCAAAGAGGAGGAUAUAGCUCUACUUAUCUCGCCUUGAAAAAGGAAUUCCGGAAAGCAAACUUACAGUCUCUUCUUGGUGCUUCUACAAGUUUCACUUCCUCAACCAAUAUCGAUUCUGAUCCGCUGCUGUCAUCUUUUAUUUUUAAUUCUCCUUCACUCAAUGAGUCUGCAAAUAAAACUGCUACACCUGCUGUGACUGAAGAUAACUCAGCUACAAAAGUCUCAUUUAGAGAAUCUCUCAAAAGGUUUAUAUUGA